CCCAAAUUGUGGGCGGCGGUGUGUAUUGGCGGCGCUGGCAGCGGCAAAUCGCAGAAUCCAUUUCUGCAUCUCGGCAGCGAGCAGCGAUGUGCAGCCUUUUGGUGGCCUGUGGUGGUGUUCGUCGGAGUUGGUUUGGUUGUGUUCGUGCUGGAGGAAUUCGGCAUAGCUGCUGCAGCCAGUUAGAUGAUGUGCGGAAAGCCAUAAGCAACAAGGAGACUGCGAGGUACCCCAUCCGGAAUGCCACCGUCAUAACCACCUCCACCCGACUCCGUCCACCAUGGUAGGAGGCAGAUCCCAAUGAUCAACACCAAGUGCGAAGGCUGAGCAGCAGUUGUGGGGCGCGUGGAGGUGGUGCGCGACAGGCAAAGGAUAGCGGUGCAGAGGGACAACGAGGGGCGAUGUCCCCUUUGAGGGUGGCAAACAAAAAACCUAUACUUGUAUGAUGGCUUGGCGUUUGUUGAUAACCAUUUGGAUGCAGUGCGUAUAAGCUUUUAUAGAUACAUGAUAUGAUACAAUAUAUGUUUGAUUCAGUUUUUACUGAUUUGAGGAUUGCAGGUUUAUAUGUGAUCCCGCAUCUCUGUUCAUUUAUAUAUAUGUUAUGAUGUAUAGAUGAAAAUAAUCAUUGUAUCAUAGUAAUAGUAUUUUUUAAUGCAA